CGAAGAUCAGCUUGGCCGGAAGACAGGGU
rnacentral:piRNA from 1 species